rfam:Stegodyphus mimosarum contig22045, whole genome shotgun sequence.
GCCUUCGUGGUGUAGUGGUCAGCACGCUGGACGCGUAAUCGAGAGGUCCCUGGUUCGAUUCCCGGUGAAGGCG